UAGGGAAUCUUCCACAAUGGACGCAAGUCUGAUGGAGCAACGCCGCGUGAGUGAAGAAGGUCUUCGGAUCGUAAAGCUCUGUUGUUGGUGAAGAAGGAUAGAGGCAGUAACUGGUCUUUAUUUGACGGUAAUCAACCAGAAAGUCACGGCUAACUACGUGCCAGCAGCCGCGGUAAUACGUAGGUGGCAAGCGUUGUCCGGAUUUAUUGGGCGUAAAGCGAGCGCAGGCGGAAUGAUAAGUCUGAUGUGAAAGCCCACGGCUCAACCGUGGAACUGCAUCGGAAACUGUCAUUCUUGAGUGCAGAAGAGGAGAGUGGAACUCCAUGUGUAGCGGUGGAAUGCGUAGAUAUAUGGAAGAACACCAGUGGCGAAGGCGGCUCUCUGGUCUGCAACUGACGCUGAGGCUCGAAAGCAUGGGUAGCGAACAGGAUUAGAUACCCUGGUAGUCCAUGCCGUAAACGAUGAGCGCUAGGUGUUGGGGACUUUCCG
rnacentral:rRNA from 1 species